rnacentral:tRNA from 1 species
UCCCUGGUGGUCCAGUGGUUAAGACUCUGCACUUCCACUGCAGGGUUAUGGGUUAGUCCCUGGUCGGGGAA